rnacentral:lncRNA from 1 species
AUAAAUUAUAUUGUGAAAUGCUGUGCCGGAAACAGAAUAAAUACAGAAGAAAGCAAAACAAUCUUCCUGGCAAGCAGGAACAUGUGGAAGGGGAACAGCAGUGAAAUUGGAUGUGACCAUGUUCAGCAGAUCCAAAAAGCAUCAGAAUAGUUUGCUUGACCUCUCAUCCUCGAGCCUCAAAUCAGAGACCGCUUCUUCCCCUGCCUUUGCCAUCAGGCCUGCUUGCUGCCCUCAACAGCAUUUUCGACUGCGGAAGGGACAAGGAGGAUAACAGUUACUUGUACGUUGUCUGUGGUCACUGCUACUGAACCAAUCCUCACACUCAGGUACAUCCUGAUAUCAGAAACCUCAAAAGGAGGAAUAAAUUCAUCUUGAUUGAAUCCUGCCAUCAUGGACAGUAUUUUUCAGGGAACCAGGAACUUGGAAGCACGUCUGCGAAGCCCAAGCUCAUCUACUUCAGUGGAGCCGGUCCGAUGGCUGCUGGCAGCAGCCGGGGUGGAGGUUAGUCAGUGCCGAACACGCUGCUCCGGACUGAUGUUCUCCCCGGCCUCCGCAAGGAACAACUUAACAUUCACACAGAGGAAAAAUGGCUGCAAGAUGCUGGCUAGAUUCAUUUGGCUAGUAGAACUGGCCGGCAUGUUUGGCACUACCCUGUGUAAUGACUAAAGUUUGGGAAACAAACUCCGUGGAGGAGACUUCUUUUAAAGGCUCCUAAAUACUGAGCUUGCCAGCUGUGCAGAACCACCGUAACUCAUUUAGCUCACAGUUACGCUGUGUAUAAGGGAAAGGAGGUUGUUGACGUACAGGUUCUGGGGGGUGGGGGGGUGUUGAAAAUAGCUGAUUUGGCUUGUGCUUCCCUUUGGCACUGUCUUCUUCCUGCAGAUGCCUGUACCCUGUUUCUACCUGCAUAUAGGUUAUCUGUGAAUCAGUGCACUGAGGUGGAAGUGGCCAGGCCCCCUGCUUCUCCUCAGCUGUGAUCCUCGGGGCAUCUGCAGCCAAACGGUGCUGCUGAAGAGCCCGCUCAUUCUCUUUAGUUUUGCUGGGCUGUUUUUCUCGGGGUUGUGCAGGCCCUUACAGACAAAACUUUGCAAUAAAGCCAUGCAACAUUUUUCUGUCGUUUUCCA